CGCGGGGCUCGAACUCGCGAACCGUGAGAUCGUGACCUGAGCCGAAGUUGGACGCUUAACCGACAGAGCCACCCAGGAGCCCCGAGAUUUCCCUCCUCGUAUAAGACCCCAGUCAUUGGAUUAGAGCCACCUUCGUCCAGGGUGACCUCAUCUGAAUUUACUUCCUUAGGGUCUGCAAAGAUCCUGUUUCCAAACAAGGUCACAGUCACAGGUUCUAGGAGUGGGGACUUCAACCUAAUAUUUCUAAGAGACACAGUUCAUAACAGAAGUAGGGGCUGAGGCCCAGGGAGCCCUGCUUUGGCCCGCACUCCCAUGGGAGGGUCCCAGGGAUUGUCCCUUUCCCUCUGGCUGGACCCGAAGAGCCUGGAAACCCAGUGAGCUGUGUGCGGUUCCCUCCCGCCCCCCCCCCCCCCAAUUCCAGGUGUCACGCCUGUGGCUGAGGGCGAGGGGCCCAGAGGUCUGCCCCAGGUUCAGGGUCGGGGGAACGGGGGUGGGGGAGAGGCAGCUUGCGGCCCAGCUGCUCCUGGGUCGCUGUGCUUGCCAGCACUGACCCUCCACGGGGCCUGGGGUGUCCUGGAGGUCGCUGCAUUCGGGCUGCUCUCCCUUUGCCUUGGGACGUCUGCCGGAAGCCGGCGGUUGGCUGUGGCCAGAUCCAGGAGGGGCCGACGUUUGAGGACCUCUCCCUCAGGCCUGUCUACCUGCAUGAUUUGCUUUCAGCUCUAACUCACCUACCGUCAAGUUCACCCUUGCAAAGUGUACGAUUCAGUGGGUGUUAGCCGAGGCACAACGUUGUCCACCCGUCACCAGCUGGACGUUUUUGUCACCCCAGGGAAACCCGCACUCAUUAGCAGUCACUCCCCAGCCCCGGGAACCGCGAAUCUGCUGUCUCUGCAGAUCUGUUCCUUCUGGACGUUCUGUACCAAUGGACUCGUUCGAUACGCGGCCUCCGUGUCUAGCUCCUUUGAGGUCGCGUAAUGUUUUCAAAUUCAUCCAUUUUAUAGGGGGAGGCAGCUGAGACUUGGAAAAGUCCAGGCUGCUUGUCCUGUGAGCUACAGAGAUGGGGUCGGGACCAACGGGGGGGAGGGGGGGGUCACGUGCCACCGUCCACUUUCUUUCUAGUGCACACUCCCGAGUGGCCAAGGGGGUGUGACCCCAUCCACCCGGCCCCAGGACGAGGAUGCAUCCGCUGCCUCCUCUGCCCUGGUUGCAUGUGUAGACUCUGACCCAGUAAUUGGGGCACCAGCGUCUCCUACACGGGCCUUCCGACCAGCUACACACCCUGCCACACACCGUGGGUCCGGUGGCCACGGAACCAGGACAAGGUGCUGCGGCAGAAGUGCCCCACAGCCAGCGAUGUGAUCCUCAUAGGAGUGUCAGCUCAGCCAUCAUCAUGCAAGGACACGACACCGUCAGAGAAAUGCCGGCUGGGCUGUCACCCUCUGAUGUCCCCCCCGAUGGAGGACCGCCCCCGCACGCCUCUGGUGGGAGGUUCGGGAUUUGAACUGGGCACAGCAAGAAUGUCGUCGGCCAUCGAACGCAGGUGGUGAAGGUCUCCAUUUGGGCAGGAUCCCCUGCACACCCAGCUUCCUUGUACCUGGCACCAAGAUCUGGGAGAAGGCCUCAGGCUGACUCAGCGUGUCCACCUUGACGUGCCGGAAGGCCUUGCACACGGGGCUCUGCAGGUGCCUAACUCAUAGACCACGAAGGUGAGGCCAUCGGCCAGCCUCACUGCUGCGAUGCUGGGGAGAGAGAGGCUCCAGGUGGAGGGCUGCCCCCCAAGAGCCUGGCAGAGUGGUAAGGGCCCCCAGCACUGGCCCUCCGGUGUGUUCAGUGAGGAUCCCUGGCCAGGCCCGGUCCCGGAAGGUGGCCAGGAAAUACUCACUGAACGAAUUGCAACGAAACGACACUUGAAAAGGCCUUACCGCCCUUUAAAAACCCCACCUUUCAAAAUAAAAACAUCUUCCUCCUCCUGC